rnacentral:tRNA from 1 species
UGGGCAUUCGCCAAGCGGUAAGGCACAGCACUUUGACUGCUGCAUUUUCGUUGGUUCGAAUCCAACAUGCCCAG